GAUGAACGCUGGCGGCGUGCCUAAUACAUGCAAGUCGAGCGAACAGACGAGGAGCUUGCUCCUCUGACGUUAGCGGCGGACGGGUGAGUAACACGUGGAUAACCUACCUAUAAGACUGGGAUAACUUCGGGAAACCGGAGCUAAUACCGGAUAACAUGUUGAACCGCAUGGUUCAACAGUGAAAGACGGUCUUGCUGUCACUUAUAGAUGGAUCCGCGCCGCAUUAGCUAGUUGGUAAGGUAACGGCUUACCAAGGCAACGAUGCGUAGCCGACCUGAGAGGGUGAUCGGCCACACUGGAACUGAGACACGGUCCAGACUCCUACGGGAGGCAGCAGUAGGGAAUCUUCCGCAAUGGGCGAAAGCCAGACGGAGCAACGCCGCGUGAGUGAUGAAGGUCUUCGGAUCGUAAAACUCUGUUAUUAGGGAAGAACAAAUGUGUAAGUAACUAUGCACGUCUUGACGGUACCUAAUCAGAAAGCCACGGCUAACUACGUG
rnacentral:rRNA from 1 species